UACGUAGGGGGCAAGCGUUGUCCGGAAUCAUUGGGCGUAAAGCGCGUGUAGGCGGUUCGUCACGUCGGCUGUGAAAACCUGAGGCUCAACCUCAGGCCUGCAGUCGAUACGGGCGGACUUGAGUACUGCAGGGGAGACUGGAAUUCCUGGUGUAGCGGUGAAAUGCGCAGAUAUCAGGAGGAACACCGGUGGCGAAGGCGGGUCUCUGGGCAGUAACUGACGCUGAGGAGCGAAAGCGUGGGGAGCGAACAGG
rnacentral:rRNA from 1 species